AACGCUCAUCUGGCUGUGGCAGCCUGUGACUGAAUGAGAGAAAAGUGCCCUAGAAGCUAUUCAUUACGAAUUCACUGGAAGCUCUCAAACGAGGCUGGCAGAAGCUGAAAUUGAAGUGGUCUCUGACCUAAUUUUCUUCUGCAUGAAACAUCUGCAUCAAGGCUCUCUUUGAUGUAUUCCACUUGGCUCUGUCUACGGGAUUGUAUCACAUGGACUCGGUGUUGCCUCCUUAUUGAAAGACAUUUCCAGCCUUUGCAAGAUGGCCGGUUUGACACAAAUUAGAACAACCUUGAUAGCUGUCAACUGGAGACUAUCUGAGAACAAAAGGACAUUAUUGCAAACCAGCACUGGAGCAACUCUGAAAGAAGAUAAAAGUACAUGAAGAAAUCAUUUGCAGGCACUGGACAAAAAAGAGUGCAAAACUAUAAUCUUGAGAGCAGGACACACACAGUUUGCAGCAUCACAGAAAAUGAUGCUCUCUCCUGCCAAGUCCCAUUUUUUGGGAGGAGGAAAUGGAUUAGGUCCUGGAGGUUGUCAUAAAUGCAUCAAGUGACUUUCUCAGCAUCAUCUGAAACAAUUGAAGAUCCUAAAAAAAUGAUAGCAGCUUUUAAGAAGGACUAUAGUGGAACAAGCAAUAUUCUAAGUGACAAGAGACACAGAUUCUAGAAUAAACUUAGCCAAAUAUGUAUGAACUCGAACAAUCUCCUUUGCCUCUCCAGGUUUUAAUUUCCCCAUCUUUACAAUGGAAGCAAUGACAACAGCAGCAUGCAGCUAGUUUGGAGAUUUUGAAGUCAGAUUGGCUAUUUAGCAUUAACCCACCAUGGUGCUGGUUGAUCUUGCUAGAUACAAAUCUGUCAUAAGUGAAAGCAUCUUGACGGUGUCUUGGAAGCUGACUGGAAAAAUACUGCUUUUAGCAGUACCUUUAAAGCAACAGGAGCUUUUCUGCAUUGCAUAGAGACAGAAUGAGCUUUGUGUAAACUGUGCUGUAGCCACGUUAUUCUGAAAGCCCAUUGGGAAGAUGCCAAUAGUAAUUCAGCUCAAAUAAUCUCUAUUAGCCAUAACCCUUUUGGUUGCAAGAGACAAAAACAUGACUGAAAUUAUUUUCGGCUAGAAGGAUCGAGGAGACUUGCAGCAUAGCUUUGAGAACAGCUGAAAUUAAAGACAUGAAUGCUGCAAGUGUCUCUGCCACUCUUUGUGUAUUAACUUUAUGUGCUCAGCCUGGCUUCCUCCACACUGCAAGGGAUAUGGCUGUUGCUUAUAUUUUCAUCUCCAUCUUUGCCACCAGAGAGGGACUGCCUUUUGUCUUGUUCCAAUUUGGGAAUUCCUGGGGAAGGACUACUCUGGCUUGGGUCACAUGUCCACACCCUGAAUCAAACAUCUGAGGUCAUGGAGAAGUACACUGAUUGGAAGAUCCUACUAAUAUUAAAAAGUUUGAGGAAGAGAAGCAAUUGCCUCUAUAAAGGGAUGCUACUCCUAGAAAAAUGAUGGGUGCUGAGAAGGCCAAAUGAUCAGUGCCUACUGAACUGUCCCAUAGGUAUUUAGGUAGAUAUGGGUAAUAAAGUUCUUGUGAACUAGCCCACUACAUGGAAUGCAAUGUAAGGAAACACAGCUUGGUUCUGACACCAACUAGCUGUGUGACCUUGGACCUCAUCAUUCAUCUCUCUGAAUUUUGAUUACUUAUAUAAACAACUGUCUUCCCCCUCACCCCGCCUUGAGUAGGGCUCUUUGAGAUUGGACAGAAGUGCAGCCAUCCAGCCCAGAACACAACAAGAAUAGAGUUGAUGAGCCCUCUUCUCCUCAACAAACACCUGUGAUGAGAACAUUGAGGCAAGGGAACAGGUGGCCAAAAAUACCCUCAUAGCCUUGAGAAAGUCCAUCUUGAUGUUAUCCAGUGAAACUUAAUGGCAACGCAGGAGCCAGGGAGCCUGCUUUAUUUUGGAAAUGAAAAAGUCAGUACAGUUGAUGAGAAUUUGAAGAGAAAAGACACAACAAAGUAGAAGGCUAACACCAAUUCCAAACAAUAGUAAAGAAUCAUAAUAAAGUUACUAUGAAUCAAAAAAAAAAAAAAA
rnacentral:lncRNA from 1 species